CAGUAGCCGCGGUAACACGGAGGGUGCAAGCGUUAAUCGGAAUUACUGGGCGUAAAGCGCACGCAGGCGGUCUGACAAGUCAGAUGUGAAAUCCCCGGGCUUAACCUGGGAACUGCAUUUGAAACUGUCAGGCUGGAGUCUUGUAGAGGGGGGUGGAAUUCCAGGUGUAGCGGUGAAAUGCGUAGAGAUCUGGAGGAAUACCGGUGGCGAAGGCGGCCCCCUGGACAAAGACUGACGCUCUGGUGCGAAAGCGUGGGGAGCAAACAGGAUUAGAUACCCCUGUAGUCCCUGUCUCUUAUAC
rnacentral:rRNA from 1 species